CCUUAGUAACGGCGAGCGAACAGGGAUCAAAUCCAGAGCCAAAGCUCGCGCCCCCCGCGGGGCGCCGAGCGCUGUGGCGUUUGGGAGCGUCCGCCUUCCCGAGGGGUGCCGGAGAGUCCAAGUCCCUCUUGAACGGGGCCACGGCCCGGAGAGGGUGCCAGGCCCGUGCGACCUCCGCGCCCGCCCCCUGGGAGGGGCGCUCCUCAGAGUCGGGUUGCUUGAGAGUGCAGCCCAAAGUCGGUGGUAAACUCCACCUAAGACUGAAUACGGCCACGAGACCGAUAGCGAACAAGUACCGUGAGGGAAAGUUGAAAAGAACUUUGAAGAGAGAGUUCAAGAGUACGUGAAACCGUUUGGGAGUAAACGGGUGGUACCCGAAAUUUCGAAAGGGGAGAUUCAAGUCUCGCCGGCGUCGGGCGAGGGUCGCUCGCGUGGAUGGCGCGCCGGCGGGCGGGGGGCAACCCUCGUCCCGGGCGUGUCACCCGGCGAUUCUCGAUUGACCGCCGUCGGUGUGACGCACUUCUCCCCGAGUAGGACGUCGCGACCCGUCGAGCGCCGGCCACGAGGGCCCGGGUGGAGUCAGGAGCCGCUCUCGAGUGGCCCCUGACCCCGGGAUCCCCGGCCGGGAGCCCGACGGUAGGAAGCGAGAAGUCGACGCGCCGCAAGGCGUCCGGCCCUCCGCGAGCACCCGCGGGGGAUCGGGUUCCGGACCCGGUCCGAUCCCGUUCCCACCGAGGGGCUGUCCGCGAUCAUGGAGGUGUCCUCGGACGGCGUCUCUCCAUCCGCGACGCUACGGGUACCCGUCUUGAAACACGGACCAAGGAGUCUAACAUGCGCGCGAGUCGUUGGGUCGGACACGCUCCGCUAAACCCAUAGGCGCAAUGAAAGUGAAGGCCGCCGUCGGGCGGCCGAGGGAGGACGGGGUGCGCGUGCGCGCGUCGGUCCCCGCACCCCCGGGGCGUCUGAUCCCUCAUCGCGAGGGGAGGCGCACCCAGAGCGCACACGUUGGGACCCGAAAGAUGGUGAACUAUGCCUGGCCAGGACGAAGUCAGGGGAAACCCUGAUGGAGGUCCGUAGCGAUUCUGACGUGCAAAUCGAUCGUCGGAGCUGGGUAUAGGGGCGAAAGACUAAUCGAACCAUCUAGUAGCUGGUUCCCUCCGAAGUUUCCCUCAGGAUAGCUUGCGCUCGGAGGAGAGUCUCAUCCGGUAAAGCGAAUGAUUAGAGGCCUUGGGGCCGAAACGGCUUCAACCUAUUCUCAAACUUUAAAUGGGUGAGAACUCCGGCUUGCUCGACCGAAGCCGGAGACGGGGCGCCCCCGGGAUCGGAGUGCAUAGUGGGCCACUUUUGGUAAGCAGAACUGGCGCUGUGGGAUGAACCAAACGACGGGUUAAGGCGCCCGAAUCGACGCUCAUGGGAAACCAUGAAAGGUGUUGGUUGCUUAAGACAGCAGGACGGUGGCCAUGGAAGUCGGAAUCCGCUAAGGAGUGUGUAAUAACUCACCUGCCGAAGCAACUAGCCCUGAAAAUGGAUGGCGCUGAAGCGUCGUGCCUAUACCCGGCCGUCGCGGCAGGGCGGACCCGCGAGGGUGCCGUUCGAUGCGGCGACGAGUAGGAGGGUCGCGGCGGCGCGCGCAGAAGGGUCUGGGCUCGAGCCUGCCUGGAGCCGCCGCCGGUGCAGAUCUUGGUGGUAGUAGCAAAUACUCCAGCGAGGCCCUGGAGGACUGAUGUGGAGAAGGGUUUCGUGUGAACAGCCGUUGCACACGAGUCAGUCGAUCCUAAGCCCUAGGAGAAAUCCGACGCCAACGGCGACGGGCCCGUUGAUCGGGCGAAAGGGAAUCCGGUUCCUAUUCCGGAACCCGGCAGCGGAACCGCUGUUUGUCGGGCCCUCACAAGGGGUUCGUCAGGGUAACCUAAAAGGGCCCGGAGACGCCGUCGGGAGCCCCGGAAAGAGUUUUCUUUUCUGCAUGAGCGUUCGAGUUCCCUGGAAUCCUCUCGCAGGGAGAUAGGGUUUGGAACGCGAAGAGCACCGCAGUUGCGGCGGUGCCCGGGAAUUCCCGACGGACCUUGAAAAUCCGGGAGAGGGCCACGUGGAGGUGUCGCGCCGGCUCGUACCCAUAUCCGCAGCAG
rnacentral:rRNA from 1 species